UUAUAUUGUAGUGAAUCACAUGAGUAUCCGUAAGUUCUUCCUUUUAUCUUUUGCAUAAGCAAAUGCUAAAAGCUCUUACUCAACAUUAUGUAUUGCAUAAGCAAAUGCUAAAAGCUCUUACUCAACAUUAUGUAACGUUCCCACUAAUUUCCCCUAGUUAUUAUAGACUAAUUGAAGAUUGAUGUAUCAUGUAUGGUUUUGAAACUAUAAACACUUAAAUUCAAAGAUGAUGACUACAAGAAAGAAAACUCUCAAGAAUAAUUAAGAUUGAAAACUUUAGAAGACACAACAAAUCUAGCAGAAAAAGACUUAGAAGACACAUCAGGAUCUUCGUUAUAUGCAAUGGUUCCAUCAUCCUCGAAGUUUUGGGAAUAAGUGAAAGGAUCAUAACGAACACGAUGAUCGAAGAUCUGAUUCUUCUUCUUCUGUCUCAGCAUCAGUAUCUUCCUCCAUAUCAAUCUCCAUUUCGAGAUCUUCUUCAAUCUCAAAACGUCUUCAGACAGAUCUUUGAUCCUAUCGUAACUGCAAGUCUUCGAACGCAUUAGGUGUUUCUUGUUGAUACCUGAACUGAAGAGCUCCAUCAGAGCAGAUGAAAAGAAGCUUUAGACAAACAGAAUAUAAAUUUAGGGACAGUGAUAUGUAUUGUUGGGUGUGUGUAUUAAAUAGUGUUUAGGAUCUUAUGAUAAUGAUGUUGAUGAGGAUCUAAUCUCGUCUUACGGAAGUAAAGAAUGAUUUGUUUAAUUACAUACAGUACUUAAAGUUGGCAUAUUCUAUGUUACAACUUGCUAAUCCUGCAAUG
rnacentral:lncRNA from 1 species